GGAAUCUUCCACAAUGGACGAAAGUCUGAUGGAGCAACGCCGCGUGAGUGAAGAAGGGUUUCGGCUCGUAAAACUCUGUUGUUGGAGAAGAACGAACGUGAGAGUAACUGUUCACGUUGUGACGGUAUCCAACCAGAAAGCCACGGCUAACUACGUGCCAGCAGCCGCGGUAAUACGUAGGUGGCAAGCGUUGUCCGGAUUUAUUGGGCGUAAAGCGAGCGCAGGCGGUUUAUUAAGUCUGAUGUGAAAGCCUUCGGCUCAACCGGAGAAGUGCAUCGGAAACUGGUAAACUUGAGUGCAGAAGAGGACAGUGGAACUCCAUGUGUAGCGGUGAAAUGCGUAGAUAUAUGGAAGAACACCAGUGGCGAAGGCGGCUGUCUGGUCUGUAACUGACGCUGAGGCUCGAAAGCAUGGGUAGCGAACAGGAUUAGAUACCCUGGUAGUCCAUGCCGUAAACGAUGAAUGCUAAGUGUUGGAGGGUUUCCGCCCUUCAGUGCUGCAGCUAACGCAUUAAGCAUUCCGCCUGGGGAGUACGACCGCAAGGUUGAAACUCAAAGGAAUUGACGGGGGCCCGCACAAGCGGUGGAGCAUGUGGUUUAAUUCGAAGCUACGCGAAGAACCUUACCAGGUCUUGACAUCUUCUGCCAACCUAAGAGAUUAGGCGUUCCCUUCGGGGACAGAAUGACAGGUGGUGCAUGGUUGUCGUCAGCUCGUGUCGUGAGAUGUUGGGUUAAGUCCCGCAACGAGCGCAACCCUUAUUAUCAGUUGCCAGCAUUAAGUUGGGCACUCUGGUGAGACUGCCGGUGACAAACCGGAGGAAGGUGGGGAUGACGUCAAAUCAUCAUGCCCCUUAUGACCUGGGCUACACACGUGCUACAAUGGACGGUACAACGAGUUGCGAACUCGCGAGGGUAAGCUAAUCUCUUAAAGCCGUUCUCAGUUCGGACUGUAGGCUGCAACUCGCCUACACGAAGUCGGAAUCGCUAGUAAUCGCGGAUCAGCAUGCCGCGGUGAAUACGUUCCCGGGCCUUGUACACACCGCCCGUCACACCAUGAGAGUUUGUAACACCCAAAGUCGGUUCGGUAACCUUCGGGAGCCAGC
rnacentral:ncRNA from 3 species